CCCUUAGAUGUUCUGGGCCGCACGCGCGCUACACUGAUGCAUUCAACAAGCCUAGCCUUGACCGAGAGGUCCGGGUAAUCUUUGAAACUGCAUCGGGAUGGGGCUAGAUUAUUGCAAUUAUUAAUCUUCAACGAGGAAUGCCUAGUAAGCGUGAUUCAUCAAAUCGCGUUGAUUACGUCCCUGCCCUUUGUACACACCGCCCGUCGCUCCUACCGAUUGAAUGUGUUGGUGAGGAGCUCGGAUUGGCAGCAGUUGGUGGUUCGCCACCGGCUAUUGCUGAGAAGUCCUCCAAACCGCCCCAUUUAGAGGAAGGAGAAGUCGUAACA
rnacentral:rRNA from 1 species